rnacentral:rRNA from 1 species
GAAUAAAAAAUCCUCCGAAUGAUUAUAACCUAGACUUACAAGUCAAAGUAAAAUCAACAUAUCUUAUUGACCCAAAUAUAUUUUGAUCAACGGACCA